rnacentral:lncRNA from 1 species
UCAGUUCAAUCUGGGAACAGUAUAUCUAACGGGAAAUGAAUCUCGUACGCAUUUCAGUAUAAAGUUAUUUCACUCCCGUACGUCACGAGACUUCGCGAGAUUAAUGGAGACUGGAAGCGUCGGACUGAAAGCUAUCGUGACUGCUAAUGAAUCAUCCACAUAAUUCCACACGUUCAACAACUUUAAUGAGUUGGUAAGUUUAAGCAUAAAGAAGAUAUAUUUUUUCACAUGAAGUAACUAAUAUGAGAGUGAUUUAUUCUAUGUAAAGUGUUUUAUUACGUUGGCCAAAUUCACGAUCAUUGAAAAAUGCUACUGGUGCCAUUUUUUUUGUAUUAUCCGAUUGCAUUGCCCAACGUUUUGUGAUGAAAAAAAUGCGAUCAUGACAAAUUUGAAGCGACAGUUUACAAGUUUAGUACACUAGCUUCACGUUUCAUGUAGUUUGGAUGCUAUUUUAUUGGUAUUGAUAAAGAAAUCAGUCAUCAUUCGCGGUCUCAUUCCGAAAUGCCAUUGGCGCCAUUUUUAUUAUCCCCCCUCUUGCAUUGUCCAACGUAUUGUGAUUAAAUGAAUGCAAUUAUUACAAAAAAAAUGUGGCAGAUUACAAGUUUGAUACACUGGCAUCCCGUGUAACUUAGUUUUAAUGACAUUUUAUUGAUAUUAAAAGAAAUAUCGAGUCAUCAAUUUUGCCAUUUUUGGUCCUUAUCUGGCCAGUCUGUGUACCCAGGAACAUAUAUAUAUUAUUAUAUUAUACUAUUCCAAGGUGUACCUUAUUUAAUCUCCAUCACAAUAAAACUCCUUUUAAAGCACAUAAACACUAAAAUAAAUAUAAAAUUUGACAUGCAUAUGUGAUUUUGAUGUUGUCAAAGUACAUAAAUGUCCCCCCCCCCACACACACACACACACACAAACACACAGAAAAAUGUCAUUAUUUUACAACAAUAACACUAUUUUUUUAUUUAUAAUAUAUAAGUAUUGCAACCUUUAUUUGUCCCAUUUUUUUCAAAAGUUUUAAGAUCAUAAAUGCAUCAUUUCUUCACAAAAUUUAGAGGUGGCUUAUGAGGGUGUACGAAGCGAAUGUAGGACAGGAAGUCACAAUUAUUUUUUUCUGAUUAUUUUCUUUGAAUAAAAGACGCUUAUUUAUACAAAAAAUAUUUUUGUAUUAUACUUGAACUAUUGUAUAUAAACAAACUUUGUAAACAAAAUUUAUCAAAAAAAAUUUUUAAAGAUGAUCAAAUUAUUGUUAAAAAAACAAAAUGUCAAAGUGGCUUGGCACCUAAAUGGCUUCAUGGUGUCAAGAAAUAUUAUUUUUGCAUGAUUAAUAUUAAAUAAAUCUUCAUUUUUCAAGUAUAAUGACACAUUUCCUAAACUUUAAUAUGAAUAUAUGUAUAUGUGUUCAAAAGUAAAUAUAUAAUCAUGAUAAUAGUUUAGGUUUAGUUUGAAUUUUUGAAGCUUUGCAGCAGGGGUAUAAUUUGUGCCCUAUGGACACAUUCCCAAUUUAUAUUUUAUCAAUUUAGUAAAAUUAUAAUUUUUAUUGCAGAUACGUAUACAGUUCAUACAGAUACAGUUUUUUGGGCCAUCACUGAAUUGACAGUACAAAAUUAUGUGAUAUAAGCAGUGUUCAGACACAAGCUUUCCUUAUUGAGCAAGAUGAGACAUAUAAAAAUAUCGAACAUUAUAUUAUCUACCAAUGCGAUCCUUUCUCUAUUAAAGAGAGC